rfam:Triticum aestivum genome assembly, contig: Triticum_aestivum_CS42_TGACv1_scaffold_321206_4BL
AAAGUACUCCCUCUGUUUGGAAUUACUUGUCGCAAAAAUGAAUAAAAAUGGAUAUAUCUAGAACUAAAAUACGUCUAGAUACAUUCAUUUCUCCGACAAGUAAUUCCGAACAGAGGGAGUAAAAG